AACCUACUCCCUCCGUUCGGAAUUACUCGUCGCAGAAAUAGAUGAAUCUAGACGUAUUUUAAUUCUAGAUACAUCCAUUUCCGAGACAAGUAAUUCCGAACGGAGCAAGUCAACG
rnacentral:pre_miRNA from 1 species